rnacentral:tRNA from 1 species
GACCUUAUAUUCAUGUUUGUGAUAUCAGAAUGCAAUUCUGGUGGGAUGGUUUAUAUACCAUUAAGGCCU